UCAAUGUCCAGGUUGCUAA
rnacentral:siRNA from 1 species